rnacentral:rRNA from 1 species
UACGUAGGGGGCAAGCGUUGUCCGGAUUUAUUGGGCGUAAAGAGCGUGUAGGCGGCCAUACAGGUCCGUUGUGAAAACUGGAGGCUUAACCUCCAGACGUCGAUGGAAACCGUAUGGCUAGAGUCCGGAAGAGGAGAGUGGAAUUCCUGGUGUAGCGGUGGAAUGCGCAGAUAUCAGGAGGAACACCGAUGGCGAAGGCAGCUCGCUGGGACGGUACUGACACUGAGGCGCGAAAGCGUGGGGAGCGAACAGG